GAAUAUUCAUUUAAACCAAGUGUGGUGGCCCUCAGGAAGCUGAGGCAGGAGGAUCACAGGGCCAGCCUGAGAGACUUACCAAAAAUUGUCUCAUGAUAAGGAAAAGAAGAGCCAAGCAUUUAGCUCAGUAGUAGGUCACUUGCCUAGCACGCACAAAACCCUGGGUUGACCCCCCCAGUUCCACCAUCAAAAAAUAAUAACUGAUAUGACAACUAGAUAACUAUGUAUUUACUCUGUGUUAGUAUAUAUGUUUCCUUCUGGACAAGGACUGAUUGCGUUUGUCUUUCUCACGAUUGUCCUAACACGUUGUAUACAUUGCAUCUGAUGCUUGUUCCCUUCAUUUCAGUGUGUGUCCCCCUCCACCUGAGGCUCUUGGGCAGGGAUCAGUCCCAAGGCAAAGAUUAGUCCCAGACAGGGUGGCUCACAGGACAGAAUUCCAAGGCAAUGGGUUUCGGGAAUUGGUUGCUUAAAUAAAUAUAUCUCUGGGUUAUGUUUUUCUUUCAAAGUCAUUUUCAGAGUAAAAAACAGGGCAUCUUGUCUCGAAAGAGAGCUUCCAAGUCUCUCUGCAUCCUUCCAUCAUUGCCCUGAAGAACAAUUGAGUAGGAGGCCCAGAUCCUGCUGCUCCUGGAGUCUCCUUCAGGGACCCAACAUCAAAGUCAGAGGGUCCCCAAGAAGCUCAUGGCCCUUUGGACGAAAAGCUGAACAGUUUUCUGGAAGACGAAAGGGUUUCCCAAAGCCCUGGCCCUAGGUUUUCCAGUGUCCCAAUUUUCUUCUUGUUGUUAGGACUUAUAAAAACUUGCUGGGUUUGUUUUGAAGACAAGGGAAAAAAUAACAUUACGCUAUUUUAAUCGACUGCAACUAUUUCAAAUAUGACCCAAGGCAGUAAAAAUGCCGUAUUUCCCAAACCACAAACCCCACUCCUUGUUAAAAUCCAAUUGCUGUCUGAGUGUGGGAUGGAGAGUCAGGAAACCUGGCAUCCAGCAUCACACCCUUUAUCUUCCUUUG
rnacentral:lncRNA from 1 species